AUCAAAGCCCUAAGUGUCAACCCGAUUGAAACUUCUUCCAAAACGCUGAAGCCCCAAGCACCAGUGGCGAUUGAAGCUUCGUCCAAAACGCCAAAGCCCCAAUCGACGAUUGAAGCUUCAUUCAAAACACCAGUGGCCAGUGGCACAACCGAAGCCCCAAAUCGCGAUUGAAGCUUUGUCCAAAACGUUGCAAUUUCAAAUUUCGAUGGAUAGUAGCGGAGAUUGAGGAACACAAGGAGACAAGGACACUAGAAGCCUUAAAUCAAAGUUUUCGUCUCUAUUUCUCAAAUUCUUGGUUUUGCAAUUCAAUACCGUCUUCAUCUUGGAUUCUUCAUAAGCUCGACAUCUGAGGUUCUCAAUCUUAUUGAAGAUAAAGCUCCAACAAUAGAACUUUCUCCAACUAAGUUUCAAAAGAUUGAUAAAGAUGAUGAUAUUGAUAUUAAACGAGAUCCUGGUAUACGUAAAUCCAUAUGGAGUUAUCCACCUGAUAAAAGAGAUGAGAUUGGGUGUGCUUAUUUGAUUGUUGGUCCUUAUCAAGUAAUCCCAGAUAAGUCUCCUAUCAAUAAAAAUCAAAGAAAAUUUUUACCUGCUAAUGAGCUUGAAUCUGGAAGAGGAAAAAAAUCAAAUUGGGGCAUUACAAUGUUCAAGAGAUACACAAUGGGGUUCUCACUUAAGGGCACUUCGUAGUUUGCUUAUUUUGUUUGAUCCCGUUCUACUUGUUUUAAGUGAUAUAAUCAACGACAAAAAUAGUUUAUCUGGUAGGGCAAGAGUUGAUGAGCUUAUGAUAUAAUGAUAUCAUUUGAAUUUGUGUUUAUAUUACAUUUUGUUCUUGAUUUGUUAGAAAUGACCGACAAUCUUUGUCAAAUUCUACAAUACAAGUGUCAAGAUAUUAUAAAUGCUAUGGAUGUAGUUGGUAAUACAAAGGAACUUAUUAGAAAUUUAGAGAGAAUGGAUGAGAUCAAUUAUUUGACAAGGUGAAGAGUUUCUAUGAUAAACAUGAGAUAGAUGUACCAGACAUGCAAGCUCCUCGUCGAUCAGGUAGAGAGCGACUGAGUAAAGGAAAUGUUAUCUUAGAGCAUCAUUAUCGAAUUGAUAUAUUCACAAACACCAUAGAUUCAAUAUUACAAGAGAUGAAUUAUCAAUUUGAUGAAAAUAUAAUAGAAUUGCUUCAGCUUAGCUCAGCUUUGGAUCUAAGAGAUGGAUACAAAUCAUUCAAUAUCAAUUACAUUUGCAAAUUUGUUGAAAAAUUUUAUCCGGAUGAUUUUACAAGUCAAGUUACAUAUAAAGUAUCAGUUGGAGCUUUUUGAGAUCGACAUUCAGCGUAAUCAGUGUUUUCAAAAUGUGUCAACACUUUCAUAAUUGUGUCAAUUAUUGUCAAAGACAGGAAAGAAAGAGAAUUACUAUCUUGUGGAUCGAUUGAUU